rnacentral:rRNA from 1 species
UACGUAGGCAGCAAGCGUUGUUCGGAGUUACUGGGCGUAAAGGGUGUGUAGGCGGUUGUUUAAGUUUGGUGUGAAAUCUCCCGGCUCAACUGGGAGGGUGCGCCGAAUACUGAAUGACUUCGAGUGCGGGAGAGGAGAGUGGAAUUCCUGGUGUAGCGGUGAAAUGCGUAGAUAUCAGGAGGAACACCGGUGGUGUAGACGGCUCUCUGGACCGUAACUGACGCUGAGACGCGAAAGCGUGGGGAGCGAACAGG